UACGUAGGGGGCUAGCGUUGUCCGGAUUUAUUGGGCGUAAAGAGCGUGUAGGCGGCCAGAUAGGUCUGCUGUGAAAACUCGAGGCUCAACCUCGAGAUGUCGGCGGAAACCAUUUGGCUAGAGUCCGGAAGAGGAAAGUGGAAUUCCUGGUGUAGCGGUGAAAUGCGCAGAUAUCAGGAGGAACACCGGUGGCGAAGGCGGAUCUCUGGGCCUGUCCUGACGCUCAGGCGCGAAAGCUAGGGGAGCAAACAGG
rnacentral:rRNA from 1 species